UGGUUGCCUGGGUGGAAAGCUCUGUGGGAAGAGCAGCAGAGUGCUGGGGCAGGAAGAGCAAGUAUUAAGUGUUUCUGUACUGUGCAGAUGAUCGUGUUUCUGAGCUAGCAGAGCAAAGCCAAGAUGAAAUCUGGCCUGAAAUCCGUUCCCUGAGAUAGCCAGACCCUUGUUCUGCCGUAGUGUUGCAUUAAUGCGGCAUUGAGGACAGCUUGUUGUUUUGUUGAUGAGUAACAGAGGGAAGAAAUCUCAGUUGCAUUUGACAGUAAUCUUCAAAGCUGGAGGAUGGAGGAGCCAGAAGGAAGUUCAGUGAAAUCCCCUGGAAGUCCAUGCUCAUGGCUGCUGUGGUAUCCUACAAGGAGUUAGACUGCCAAAGGCCUGCAUGGCUCUCUACAAUGAUUCUGGGAACCAAAAGGUGCUCCUCUGCAUGUCACAUUUGCUCUGGUUUACCUUAACACAGCAAGAGGCCUCUUGGGUUCUCCCAGGUAUGGUCAGGAAGUCAUUUUUCUGAUCUCUUCUGAUAAGGAACAUGAUUAUCAGGUUAUCUUUAAUGAAGGAAUCACUGCUAUCAGGCAGCUUCAAGCCCCAAGGAAUUAACAUGGAGAAAGAGUCUGAAGUUUUCUGGCUUCUUGGAAAAAUACCUGUAUUUUUAAGAGUGAGUAUUUCUAAGACUCUAUGGUACUGCUGUGCCACUGCCAGCUUUGCAGUUUCAUAGCCCUUGCAUCACAAAAGUGGCCCAAAUACCAUGGGUUUUAUGGGUUUGCUUAGAAGAGCACAUGGUAACAUUUGAUCUGCCUACCAGUUCCUUGCUUUUACCAUCCCCUGUGCCCGCCUACUCCCAGCCAGCAUGGCAC